rnacentral:rRNA from 1 species
GACGAACGCUGGCGGCGUGCUUAACACAUGCAAGUCGAACGGAAAGGCCCUGCUUUUGUGGGGUGCUCGAGUGGCGAACGGGUGAGUAACACGUGAGUAACCUGCCCUUGACUUUGGGAUAACUUCAGGAAACUGGGGCUAAUACCGGAUAGGAGCUCCUGCUGCAUGGUGGGGGUUGGAAAGUUUCGGCGGUUGGGGAUGGACUCGCGGCUUAUCAGCUUGUUGGUGGGGUAGUGGCUUACCAAGGCUUUGACGGGUAGCCGGCCUGGGAGGGUGACCGGCCCCAUUGGGACUGGGAUACGGCCCAGGCCCCCAGGGGGGGCAGGGGGGGGAAAUUUUGCAAAAUGGGCGGAGGCCUGAUGCAGCAACCCCGGGUGCGGGAUGACGGCCUUCGGGUUGUAAACCGUUUUCGCCUGGGACGAGGCGUGAGUGACGGUAAUGGUUAAAGAAGCCCCGGCUAACUACGG